UGCACUCCCCACGCUACGCCACUGCAUGCUAGACAGAACAGAAAUCACGCCAAAUUCCCUUGUACUUGCAGAGCACUAACCACAUCACUGGAAAAAGUUACACCACAUAGCAAUAUAUUUGGGCUGGUGGAAUUGGUGGAACUCUGUUAAUGUAAGAGUUGGGUGUGUGGAAGUGGAAAAGUUGAAGGUAGUUGGGAUUUUAUGCUUGCUUGGGUAUCAGUCCCAUGAUAGUGUAAUAUUAUGUCUCCAAAAAAGAUUGCAUAAGUUAAAACACUACCACUGGAAAGCAAUAGAUGAUUGCCCCUCCCUUUAUUCAAAACAGCAGACUAUAAGAUUACAAUCAAGACACAAUUCUGGUUAAAUAUAAGCUCACACAAAGGAACACAGUUCUGAUAUAUCAAGAUAUGCAACAUGGCUCUUUGCCCAAGUCUUCACAAGUAGAGACUGGUGAUGAGGAACUUUGAUGAUGAGGAACCAUGUACAAACAACAAGCACCCAACAGCUAAGGGGAACAGAUGAAACCUUCUUAUUCUCAGAUAACUUACAAGUCCCCUACUUUAGGCUCCAGAUAACAACACCCAGCAGACAUAGCAAUUGUGAUAACUAUUAAUGAAAAAGCAGGGAAUUAGCCUGAGAUGUGCAGAAUGUUAAAAGCAUCUCAGUGGUAGCAUGUUGUUGUUACUAAUUCACCAGCCUAGGUGAGCACCUGCUUACAGGAAUCAUUUGUUGCAGCCACAUUCUUUCAUUCAUCCAUUACCUUUCCUCCAAGGAGCUCCAAGCAGUGUGCAUGGGUCUUACCAUAUUAGACUGAGAUGGAAAUGACUAGCCUAAGGCUACCAAGUGAGCUUCAUGGCUGUGUUGGACAGUCUCUCACCACAGGAUGGACAGGAAUGGGGGAAAUAACGUUCUACUUCCUUUCCUCUCAUUCAACAUGGAAGCCACUGAAGCAGGUAGAGGCGGUGGGUGUGGUGAGCGGCGUUGAACAUUAAAUUCCUCUUUGCUCCACAUCAAACUUGACAGGCUACCAUGAUAUCCACUUGCCUGAGAUGACUUUGAGCCGUACUCUCCUGCAACCACCUCUUCCUCAGCAUCCAUAUCUGAUGCUUGCAAAACCUUUUGGAGGAGCUGCUGCUGAUCUUCCUUGGAUGAAAACAUAAGCUCUUCCUCCUCCAUACCUGCAAGUUUAGUGAUCACCUGAGACACAGGAAGGAAGAGAGAUGUUACUUUCCUCAGUGUUCACAUACAGAAAUUAACUACGCCUCUCAUAGUGAAGCUUAUGGAUGCGGCAUUGUACUGUCAUUUGUAGGAUGCCUAUUUCACAAUCUGAGGAAAUAAUGGGCCGGGGUGAUACAGUGUUUAGCAGAAGAAUCCCUGACUGGGCUGGCUGAGGCUGCUGGAAGUUGUAGUAUAACAUCUGAAGGGCACUAUUUUGGUUACCCCUGCGUUACGGAAUUGGACUAAGACUGGGGAGUGCCAGAGUUCAGAUUCCCACAUAGACAUGAAGCCCACUGGGUGACCUAAGGCCUAACCCCCUCCACCCCACUCUCUAUUAUCCAGCCUAUUUGGUAGGAUAAUAGAGGAGAGCUGUACAUGUUGCCUUGAGCUAAUUCAAGAAAAGAGCAGGGCGUGUGUGUAAUAAAUAAAUUCUACUGUAGUUUGUAUCAGUAAUAGUGCAACUUCUAAACAAUUAACUAUUAAAUAACCAAGGUGAAGCAACAUACUUGAUGUGAUUGUUGUUCCACCUUUAUCUCUUUAUGAGCAACACAGAACCAGAGAUAAUAAAGUUAGUGCAGUGUUACUGUGUUUCUAAGUUGCAGCGUUGUUGAUCCACAGAACACUCAGGUGCUAGUCACUGUAAAAAAUAUUGCAAGUUAUUGGGGGACAAAAUUACCUUAAAGCUGUAGCCUUGAUCUACUAGAAACCGUUGACGUUUGGUUGAGUAUGCCAUUUCUUGAGUGUCCUGGGAGACCAGGGAAUAAAAGAAGGCAUUGUACUCCUCUGCAACCAUUCCUAGAGAAGUAGUAGGACAUAAAAGCACAUCAGGACGUCAAGAAACAAACAUUUUGUAGUUAUCUUACUGCCAUGUCAGCAGCCUACGAUCACUGAUAAUCAAGUAAACCACCAGCUGCCAAUUCAAAAGCUGCAGUUAGGCAAAGGAAAAGAGCUCCCCUCAGAUGGGCAAAAGUCCCAAGUGGUUAUUUAAGCUCAAAGCACCCUGGUCUCUCUAAGUCAACUGGGCAGGAGCCAGGUUUCCUUCUGCCACCCUCCAUUCAGCGUUUGCAGUAAUUGCAGAAUCAUACCCUUCUGGUGUGUAGUGCACAAAGAAUAUUUCACAUCAAUCAACCUAUACAUGUCAUAUAUGAAAUCAGUGGUUUUUUGUUUGUAUGUUCUGCAUACCCAAUAUUUCACUUGAGUGGCUAGGAUUAUAUUAGGAUAUGAGGUACACCAAAGCUAUAAACCAAAGACACAACGCCGUUAGAAUUCACUCCAUAAGAUCAUGUAAAGCAAGUUAAAAUACAACCCUCUACUAUAAGCGGUAAAAUUCAGCUAUUUGGUAUUAGCAACUAUUCUUAUGUUUCACAUUUAUUCUGAUGUUUCCUUUCCCCCUAACAAUGCCUUCAUUUGAAAGAAACACACACACAUCAAUGUAGGCAGGAAUUCUUUAUUCCAUGCAAUUACUUCCCAUUAUCCCUAUGCUUAAACACUGGAUAAUUCUAAUCUCCCCCAAUCCAAUGAUAUCUGUCGGGAAGAGCAUGAGAUUCUUAAUCUCAGGGAAGUGGGUUUGAGCCCCAUGUCGGGUGACAGAUUCUUGCACUGCAGGGGGCUGUACUAGAUGACCCUUGGGGUCCCUUCCAAACCUACGAUUCUAAGAGCCGGGUGCCAUUACUGCCAACAGCACACUGCCACAUGCAUAGAGCCCUUUGCCGGUCAAGGUGUUAAAAAUAAUCAGCAAUGCAGCAGGAAGCAUGUUCAUCCAAGCCCCAAAUCCUAUGCCAAGAUCCUAGUCCUAUGCAACAGACACACCUUAGAACUCUAACACAGCUGCCUUGGAAGUUCAGUAAGAACAAUUAGAACAGAGCCCCUUGAGCACAAGGCUUGCAAAAGUGUCUCUUUACAAGACAUACAAAAUGCUAAUGCUAAGUGUCAUGUGAGGAGCGAUUAGGCAAGAAAGACAAAGGGAAAGAUGGCCCCCUACUGCAGCACGUUUUAGAACUACCCUUGAAUUUUGUUUUAACCUGUGACCUGGAGCUGACAGUGACAAACUAGCACAAUGGCAAAUUGUACAUGCUUAGCCGGCUACAUGAGUUGACUUAUGUUACUUUCAUGCUUGAGUGUCCCAUUAAAACAGAAGACUUUCAGGGGCACAGGCCUUGAGUUACCUUUUUUGGCUCUCAGCACUCGACCCAAUCGUUGAGCCUCCUGCCUUCGAGACCCGCCGUGGGACGAAAUCUGAAUGAGGACAUUGGCUUCUGGCAAAUCAAAGGACGUGUCUCCUACCUACAACACAGAAACAACCUCUUAACGAAUGUGUUGUUUCAAGCAUUGAAAAUAAAAACAAACAACUCUUUAACAAGCAACGCGGAUUUGUGGGCUACAGUAAAUAAAUAAUUCUGUCAACAUUAUAGCCGUUUCACAGGCUGCUCAAAAUAAGGUGUGUAACAUCUCAAGCCAAUUUGGUAACUAACAGAUCGCUUUCCAUUACCUUUGAAAUAAAGAUGGUGUUGAUUUUGGGGUUAUGUUUGAAAUUCUGUAGGAUCUGCAUUCUUUCCCCCUGUGCUGUAGGCCCAUAUAUAUAGGGUCUAAAUAGAAAAAAGGGACACAAAAAAAUGUAAUGAAUUGGUGUCGCCUUCUGUCCCAUGAACUCAGGUAUGUAGAACAGGCAUUACGAAGCCUCAAAAACCACGGGAAUUUUAAAAUAAAUCUGUUUCGCAUAUUUUUCACAUUCCAUUCAAAAUACAAAAACACUUUGCUUUCCUUGCAGCAUUCUUUGCCGACUGCACUGAGGACCCACCCGCCUGAAGAUAAACCCAUUCUUCCCGACACCCCUUCCAAAGAAAUAAAUCCAGACAGUUGUAAAUGUUAUCCGCUUGAUGUGUGCCUCCUGACUCAACAGAUCAGUGGGCUGAAUUUAUCUGCUAAUCCUACAUGAAAGGAUAGCAGCAGCUGUUAAAAUAAAAAAAGGUGUUUUCUUUUGUUAAA